rnacentral:rRNA from 1 species
CAGUAGCCGCGGUAAUACAGAGGGUGCGAGCGUUAAUCGGAUUUACUGGGCGUAAAGCGUGCGUAGGCGGCUAAUUGAGUCGGAUGUGAAAUCCCCGAGCUUAACUUGGGAAUUGCAUUCGAUACUGGUUAGCUAGAGUGUGGGAGAGGAUGGUAGAAUUCCAGGUGUAGCGGUGAAAUGCGUAGAGAUCUGGAGGAAUACCGAUGGCGAAGGCAGCCAUCUGGCCUAACACUGACGCUGAGGUACGAAAGCAUGGGGAGCAAACAGGAUUAGAUACCCCCGUAGUCCAUGUCUCUUAUAA